CUGGUCACGGCUGUCCUGAAUCCACCUAAACAACAAGAAAACAUGCAGAAGAAUAUUUCAAUGCCAUAAAUCAUUCGAGAUUGCACACCAAUUCAACUAGGUGAUGUAGUGGGCGGAGCACUAAUUUCUCCUGCUAUGAGUGAACCUCCAGGCGCAGACGUGGCAGCAGGGUUCGUCCGAGAUGUGGAAGCCAUCAGCAACACUAGUAAUCAGCGUAGCGAAACCGACGCUGGAGGAAACGCGCGUGUUCUAGGAUGUUAAGACUCAAAAGCGCACCUUGAUUGUAGAAUAGAAAUGGACAGCGUAUUAUAGUGUUCCCCUUAAUUGAAUAUGUUGAAUGAUGAACUCCUCAAGUCAAUGCUGUUGUUCGUUAAA